rnacentral:misc_RNA from 1 species
UCUCCGUAGGUGAACCUGCGGAGGGAUCAUUACAUUAAAAAAUAUGAAGGCUACAUGCAGCUCUGCCUCUCUGGGCUAGUUUGCUAGGGCCGAAUUAUUUUUCUCACCCAUGUCUUUUGUGCACUUGUUGUUUCCUUGGCGGGUUUUGCCUGCCACCAGGACCACACCAUAAACCCUUUAUGCAGUUGCAAUUAGCGUUAGUAUAACCACAAUUAUUUACAACUUUCAACAACGGAUCUCUUGGUUCUGGCAUCGAUGAAGAACGCAGC